GGGGGGUCUGAUAUCUAUGUUGGGGGCAAUAAAGACAACGGCUUGCUCUCCCAACCUCCCUACUCCCUGACAUCACCACAGCCCAUAGAAUAGAUAUGUAUAUAUAUUUAUAUACAGAAAAAGAAUACAUACUGGUGGCUGGACACCCUAGACAUUAAAGUACAUUCAAAGAACGGAACCAACAUUCUUGUCUGAAACACACGUUUACAGUGACCUCCCUCCCCUGGAUUGGAAAUCCUCGGUAGUUUUUCCAGUUUUUACCCCCGAAAUUAAGAACCAAAAAAACAAAACGUUUUUUUUUCUUAACUAUUUCAAAGUUUUAGUGCUGCGAAAAAAUCACACAAAUAAAUACUUUCCAGAAUACACUGACAAAACAACAAUGUUAUUAACUGACGUAUUUUUUAGCCCUCGUCUCAUAUUACCAGUAUGUGGGCACGACUGUUCUUCUAAAAUAUGAAAUCUAGCGGCAAAGUCUAUAGGCCUCAGGCUAGUUGUUUUGGUUAUGCACCUGCUGAUGUACGUAUUACAAUGGGAUUAUUCGAUUAUACUUUACUAUUUAACAUGGACGACGUAGUUCCUCGUGCGGCAUUCUGGGUAGUUUUUAUGCACCAUGGGAGGUUAUUUGUGUCUGUGUUUUUUCUCUUUUUUCAUUUCUUUCUUUCUUUUCAUUCUCUCUGUCCGUCCGUUAGUCUGUCCGGGGGGCUGCAGAGCCCCCCCGUGCCCCCCUCCCCUCCUCGGUUCUGCAGGUGGAGGUGGGGUGGAGAGGAGGAGGAGAUGGAGGAGGAGGAGGAGGGGGCGAGCUGUCAGGAGGAAGUGACAUCAUUACAGUAUCCACAGGAAGUGGUUAAUAGCAUCUGCCUGCAGGAAACCAGGGUUGGCGCGGCGCCGCGUGUUCGUCUCUGCUCGUCGUAGUUUUUGUUUGUUUUUGGUUUUUUUUCUCAUCUGUGAUGUCCAUCAAUACUGAGUAGUACAGCUCUUCCAUUUUGUAUUUACUGGAAACAGGGGGAGAAAAGAAGGGACAGCGGUGAGCAAGGAGCAUUGGUAAGAAUAGGUCUAGAUAGUUAUGAACAAUAAUCAUUAAAAUAUCUGUUUGCCAACAGUUGGUGGCGCCCCCUAUUGGUGGGAGGUCG
ensembl:lncRNA